GAAACUUCCCUGAUCCAGAGGUUGGGAGUUUGGGUUUUGUGUCCUGGGAGCUGCGCAAAACUCACCCAGAUCUGCAUGGUGUGGUUGGCGUCGAUGAGCCAGGACACGUAGGGGGGACCCUGCAGGAUGAGGACGGCAUCGAGAUCCCCGGGUGCGCAGCUCAGUUCCACCUUCACCGUCACCGUCCGGGGCCUGCGGGGAGACAGACGCUGAUGGAACACUGAAGCGGACAGGCCAGGCGGGGAGCGAGGCCUGGCGUCAGAGACAGAGUCUCCCUCUGUUGUCCAGACUGGAGUGCAGUGAUGUGAUCUCGGCCCACUGCAACCUCUGCCUCCCAGGUUCAAGCAAUUCUCCUGCCUCAGCCUCCCGAGUAGCUGGAACUGCAGAUGAGGGAACCAAGACCCUGAGAGGUGAAGUCAUUUGCCUUUGAUGACACAAGAAGUCAGCCAGGGGCUGGGAUUCGUGCCCAGGCUCGUCAAGUGAAGCAGUGAGAGUGGAGAAGGAACAAAGCAAUCUGUAACUAGUUGUGAUCAAUUACUUGUAAACACAAUUGUUUUUUUCAUUUUAGUGUGCCAUUUAGUUUUUUUCAAUUUAUUAUUAUUUUCUGAGAUGGAGUCUUACUCUGUUGCCAGGCUGGAGUGCAAUGGCGCGAUCUUGGCUCACUGCAACCUCCACCUCCUGGGUUCAAGUGAUUCUCCUGCCUUAGCCUCCCAAGUAGCUGGGACUACAGGUGCAUGCCACCACGCCCAGCUAAUUUUUGUAUUUUUAGUAAAGAUGGGGUUUCGCCAUGUUGGCCAGGAUGGGCUCAAACUCCUGACCUCAGGUGAUCCACCUGCCUUGGCCUCCCAAAGUGCUAGGAUUAUAGGCGUGAGCCACCGCACCCGGCCGCUCUCACGUUUUUCUACACAUUUUUGUGUAGCACAUCCUUCCCUAGCACAUUUUUCUAACCUUAUUCCCAAGAAGAAAAAGAACACAGCAAUCUACAAGCCAGUGUCUAUUGAAAGAAUGACCUCAAAGACUUUCUGAACUAGUGGCAUGUGAACAGGCUCGUCAAGUGAAGCAGUGAGUGUGGAGAAGGAACAAAGCAAUCUGUAACUGGUUGUGAUCAAUUACUUGUAAACACAAAUUUUUUUUUUUCAUUUUAGUGUGCCAUUUAGUUUUUUUCUAUUUAUUAUUGUUUUUUGAGAUGGAGUCUUGCUCUGUUGCCAGGCUGGAGUGCAAUGGCACGAUCUCGGCUCACUGCCACCUCUGCCUCCUGGGUUCAAGCGAUUCUCCUGCCUCAGCCUCCCAAGUAGCUGGGACUACAGGUGUGCGCCACCAUGCCCGGCUAAUUUUUGUAUAUAUAUUUUUUUGAGAUGGAGUCUUGCUCUGUCGCCCAGGCUAAAGUACAGCGAUCUCCGCUCACCGCAACUUCCACCUCCUGGGUUCAAGCGAUUCUCCUGCCUCAGCCUCCCAAGCAGCUGGGACUACAGGUGUGCGCCACCAUGCCCAACUAAUUUUUGUAAUUUUUUCUUUUUUUGAGAUGGAGUCUUGCUCUGUCGCCCAGGCUAAAGUACAGCGAUCUCCGCUCACCACAACCUCCACCUCCUGGGUUCAAGCAAUUCUCCUGCCUCAGACUCCUGAGUAACUGAGAUUACAGGCACCUGCCACUGCACCUGGCUAGUUUUUGUAUUUUUAGUAGAGAUGGGGUUUCACCAUCUUGGCCAGGCUGGUCUCGAACUCCUGACCUCAUGAUCCAUGCGCCUCAGCCUCCCAAAGUGCUGGGAUUAUAAGCGUGUGCCACCACGCCCAGCCUAAUUUUUGUAUUUUUAGUGGAGAUGGGGUUUCACCUUUUUGGCCACAAUGGUCUUAAUCUCUUGACCUGUGAUCUGCUUGCCUCAGCCUCCCAAAGUGCUGGGAUUAUAGGUGUGAGGCACUGCGCCCAGUUAGGUUGGUUAUUUUUAAAUAAUUAUUUUAUGCUAAUUUAUGGGAUAAGAUAUGUUUCAAAUUUAUGUUUGUAUAAGUUCAUGUUUUGAUUAACAUUUUCUAGUGGGUUUAUAACUUUUGGUUUUCAAAAUAUAUUGUUUCAUCAGUUUUGAAUACUAUAUAUAUAUAUAUAUAUAUACAAAAUUUUUUUCUUUUAAGACAGGGUCUCCCUCUGUUGCCCAGGCUGGAGUACAGUGGUGUGAUUGCUCACUGCAACUUCCGCCCCUCAGGCUCAAGUGAUCCUCCCGCCUUAGCCUCCCAAGUAGCUGGGACUACAGGCAUACACCAGUAUGCCUGGCUAAUUUUUAUAUUUUUUGUAGAGAUAGGGUUUCACUAUGUUGCCCAGGCUGGUGUUGAACUCCUA